UUUUAUCAUUAUUCAGCUAAAAAUUUGAGUUAAACACCCUCCUACUUUCACUUUAAAUACCACUAUCUUUAUUUCCUUCCCAUACAUUCUUAACACCGCCAACCCUCUUUUUCCUCUCCACCAUCACAUACCAUAGGCCUUAACCUCCCAAACCUCGAAGUCCCUUACUACUAGCAAUAACUACACCAACCAGCAGCCAUUCGCCCCAACUGCACCCACC
rnacentral:lncRNA from 1 species